UCCCUUGCCUAAAAUUCAAUUCUACUUUAUUAAAAAACUCUCCAAAACAAAUCCCAUACCCAAGCAUCCUGUGAGCUGCUAUACAGCCACAUUCAUUGUUACUUUUGAACCCAAUAGAUAGGAACUUUCAACUUCAAUACACAAAUUUAUGCAUUCACAGAAAUGAUCGCAUCAACUCCAAACUGUCAAAAAUCAUUUUCAUACAUCAAAUAAUAAAAUAAAAUAUAACAAAAACUUAACACUGAAUAGGUGAUUAAAAGAUCUGGCUGUUGGUUUUCAAAUACAUCUAGUUCCAAUUUUCUUAUUCAUAUAUAUAAAUGGUCAAAUGCUAAAUUAUUCUCAAUAAUAGGUGAUUGCAACGCAAAUGUCAAGAAAAUGAAAUGAAAAAGUAUGGUAGAUAGUAACCAUCAAAUUGAACCAAUCUGCAAAAUGUUCGCAGAGAAUGAGAAAACGUUUCGUCCAAAGGUCGCAAUCAAUGCAAUCGUCACAACACAAGAAAGCGUAAUCAGAAAAUGACAUUUGGGGCGACGACAGUAAUCCAUUCACAAAAGCAGGAAUUCAUUACGCAGUGAAUACAAAAGAAUAGAGUGAUAGGGUUUUGGUAUUUACCAGAAGCAGAAUUGUUGUUGUGAAGAUGACAACAAAUCAAUGGCAGAGUUUGGUUCUUCUCACCCUUUCCUCUUCUGCACACGCGCUCAAACUCCUUUUUCAUGCCUUGCGUUGUGGUGUGCUCGAGAUCUGCAAAUUUUAAAUAAGAAUCUC
rnacentral:lncRNA from 1 species